rnacentral:rRNA from 1 species
UACGGGGGGGGCAAGCGUUGUUCGGAAUUACUGGGCGUAAAGGGCUCGUAGGCGGCCAACUAAGUCAGACGUGAAAUCCCUCGGCUUAACCGGGGAACUGCGUCUGAUACUGGAUGGCUAGAGGUUGGGAGAGGGAUGCGGAAUUCCAGGUGUAGCGGUGAAAUGCGUAGAUAUCUGGAGGAACACCGGUGGCGAAGGCGGCAUCCUGGACCAAUUCUGACGCUGAGGAGCGAAAGCCAGGGGAGCCAAACGGG